UUGUAGGUUAACAUUGGCUGGGCGCUUCUAAUUGUAGCAGGAAUUGGAUCUUUUGCAGUCGCUAAAUCUAAAGUUAUUUCUCAGAGACAGCAGAAUAU